AUCAGACCCAUCGGCCAUGACAUUAAAAGAGGGGAAUGUGUUUUGGCCAAAGGAACCCACAUGGGCCCCUCAGAGAUUGGUCUUCUGGCAACUGUAGGUGUCACAGAGGUUGAAGUUAAUAAGUUUCCAGUGGUUGCAGUCAUGUCAACAGGGAAUGAGCUGCUAAAUCCUGAAGAUGACCUCUUACCAGGGAAGAUUCGAGACAGCAAUCGUUCAACUCUUCUAGCAACAAUUCAGGAACAUGGUUACCCCACGAUCAACUUGGGUAUUGUAGGAGACAACCCAGAUGACUUACUCAAUGCCUUGAAUGAGGGUAUCAGUCGUGCUGAUGUCAUCAUCACAUCAGGGGGUGUAUCCAUGGGGGAAAAGCUUGCCAACAACAUUUGCAACUUUGGAUAUUGAUGGUGUAAGAAAAAUAAUCUUUGCACUACCUGGGAAUCCUGUAUCUGCUGUGGUCACCUGCAAUCUCUUUGUUGUGCCUGCACUGAGGAAA
rnacentral:sRNA from 1 species